rnacentral:rRNA from 1 species
UACGUAGGGUGCAAGCGUUUGUCCGGAAUUAUUGGGCGUAAAGAGCUCGUAGGCGGUUCGUCGCGUCGGCUGUGAAAUCCCGAGGCCUCAACCUCGGGUCUGCAGUCGAUACGGGGCGGACUGGAGUUCGGCAGGGGAGACGUGGAAUUCCUGGUGGUAGCGGUGAAAUGCGCAGAUAUCAGGAGGAACACCGGUGGCGAAGGCGGAUCUCUGGGCCAUUAC